UUUCUUUCACUUUCAUGUUUGGUUUCGCUAAAGUUGCUAUUCUCUUAAAAUGUUCGCGUCUCUUCAACCUUUACGAUUUUUCCUUGUUUCUCAAUUUUGAAGGCUGAUCUGUCUACAUGUUCCUAUUUUGAUUCUGGCCACGGCUGCCCUCUCCCCUCCUCCGCCGUCUUCCCGCCGGAGCCACCGCCACUCCUCUCUAACAAGCAGCCAUCGAACGCUCGCAGCUACCGGCCGGCCAAUCCGAGGACGAUCUGGCUGUGAUUUCUUCCAAAUCAGUGGUUCCCGGAAAAAAUCCCAAUCUACAAAGUCUUGCUACCCAAAUCAGUCGGACUAGGUAUCCAUCACAGUUUUUUAAUCGCGCUGCUCUCAAGAUCAACUUGAAGACUGGUUAACUUUGAGAGCAUGGAAUCAUCUGCAGGUUCUCUAAGGGAUACAUCUGUUGUUGUUGUCACAUUGGACUCAAGUGAAGUGUAUAUUAUUGUCAGUUUGUCUACUAGGACUGACACUCAGGUUAUCUAUGUUGAUCCUACAACUGGGGAACUUUGUUAUACUGCUAAGCAGGGUUAUGAUGUUUUCAAAUCACAAAAUGAAGCAUUAGAUUGCAUCACAAAUGGGUCAAAAUGGCCUUGUAAGAGUAUAACACAUGCCCGGGCACUGUUAGGCUAUGCAGCUCUUGGCAGCUUUGGUCUACUGCUUGUUGCAACUAGGUUGACAGCCAGCAUUCCAAAUUUGCCUGGUGGAGGGUGUGUUUACUCAGUAACGGAGACCCAAUGGAUUAAAAUUUCCCUUCAGAAUCCUCAAGCACAAAGUAAAACUGAAAUAAAAAAUAUUCAAGAACUAACAGAGCUUGACAUUGAUGGGAAGCAUUACUUCUGCGAAACUAGGGAUAUAACUCGGCCUUUUCCAAGUCGUAUGUCGGUGCAGAACCCAGAUGAUGAAUUUGUGUGGAAUAAAUGGUUUGCUAUGCCGUUCAGGAAGAUUGGGCUUCUGCAGCAUUGUGUCAUUCUUCUGCAGGGGUUUGCUGAAUGCAAGACUUUUGGUAGCCUUGGGCAGCAGGAGGGGGUUGUUGCACUUACUGCUCGUCGUAGUAGAUUGCAUCCUGGAACUCGAUACUUAGCUAGGGGUAUAAACUCAUGUUAUAGUACAGGCAAUGAAGUUGAGUGUGAACAACUUGUUUGGAUUCCCAAAAGAGCUGGUCAAAGCGCUCCUUUUACCACUUACAUUUGGCGUAGAGGCACCAUUCCUAUCUGGUGGGGUGCUGAGUUAAAACUUACUGCUGCUGAAGCAGAAAUUUAUGUAUCCGAUCGCGAUCCUUAUAAAGGGAGCUCAGAGUAUUAUCAAAGGUUGUCUCAAAGAUAUGACGCACGGAAUCUGGAGGGAGCUGUUGGUGGGAGUCAGAAAAAAAGUGCUUUGGUUCCAAUUGUUUGUGUUAACUUACUAAGGAAUGGAGAAGGAAAAUCUGAAUCGGUUUUGGUUCAGCAUUUUGAAGAAUCUUUAAACUAUGUUCGUUCUAUUGGGAAACUGCCUUAUGCUCGAAUUCACUUAAUUAAUUAUGAUUGGCAUGCUAGUGUAAAGCUUAAGGGCGAACAACAAACAAUUGAAGGACUUUGGUAUCUUCUGAAAGCACCCACAGUUUCUAUUGGUAUUUCUGAGGGGGAUUAUUUACCCUCUCGCCAAAGGAUUAACAACUGCAAAGGUGAAAUAAUAUGUAAUGAUGACUAUGAUGGUGCCUUUUGCAUAAGAUCACACCAAAAUGGAGUAAUACGUUUCAACUGUGCGGAUUCUUUAGAUAGAACGAAUGCUGCUAGUUUCUUUGGUGCGCUCCAGGUUUUUAUGGAGCAAUGUAGGCGGUUAGGCAUAUCACUUGAUAGUGAUCUUGUAUAUGGUUAUCAAGCACCUGGUAACUUUGGUGGCUAUGUUGCUCCAUUGCCUCCCGGCUGGGAAAAGCGAUCUGAUGCAGUGACUGGGAAAACAUAUUAUAUUGAUCACAACACUAGGACGACAACCUGGAAUCAUCCUUGUCCAGAUAAACCUUGGAAAAGGUUUGACAUGACCUUUGACGAGUUUAAGAGAUCAACGAUCUUGUCACCCGUAUCUCAAUUAGCUGAUCUUUUCUUAGUAGCUGGUGACAUUCAUGCAACGCUUUAUACGGGUUCCAAAGCCAUGCACAGCCAAAUACUUAGCAUUUUUAACGAGGAGGCAGGAAAAUUUAAACAGUUCUCUGCUGCACAGAAUAUGAAAAUCACUCUGCAGAGAAGAUAUAAGAACGCAGUUGUAGAUAGCUCCCGUCAGAAGCAACUAGAGAUUUUUCUGGGGCUAAGGCUCUUCAAGCAUUUUCCUUCAGUGAUUAUUGAUCCCUUACAUGUUCCUUCUCGGCCUUUUGGAUGCUUCUUGAAGCCAGUUCCGAGCAUGUUUGCAUCUUCUGAUGGGGGAGCUAGCCUUCUGAGUUUCAAAAGAAAAGGCCUUGUAUGGCAGGUUUCUGCGCAGGCUGCAGAUGUGGUUGAACUCUUUAUAUACCUUUGCGAGCCUUGCCAUGUUUGUGAGCUUCUUCUCACCAUAGCGCAUGGUGCUGAUGAUACUACUUUUCCAUCGACAGUUGAUGUGAGAACUGGGCGCCAGAUGGAUGGACUCAAACUUGUUCUCGAGGGAGCCUCUAUACCUCAAUGUGCAAAUGGUACAAACAUUUUGAUACCAUUAUCAGGACCUAUCAGUGCAGAGGAUAUGGCUGUCACUGGGGCAGGUUCUCGUUUACAUGCACAAGAAUCCUCAAGCCCUUCUAUGUUAUAUGAUUUUGAAGAAGUUGAAGGAGAACUGGAUUUUCAAACUCGUGUUGUUGCUGUAACAUUUUAUCCUGCUGUGCCUGGGAGAGGCCCAAUGACCCUCGGUGAGGUGGAGAUACUUGGAGUUUCUCUUCCAUGGAGGUCUAUAUUUUCCCAUGAAGAGAGUGGUGCUAGUUUAAUUGAACGCUUAAAUGGUCACUCAAAGGAAAUUAACCCUUUCCUUACUGAAGCAGAUACCAAUCACUUAGAUGCUUCCUCAACGAAUCAUAGAGAGGCUUCUCCAUUCCCAUUAGAAUCAUCAGCUAACUCAUUUGUGGACCUUCUGACUGGAGAAGUAGUAUUUCCAGACACGGUUUCUCAACCAGUUGCUCAGACUGUUGUUCAUGAAGGGAGUGACUUGCUUAACUUCUUCGAUGAUGUUGUCAGCCAGCCAGUUUCUCAGGGAAAUAACAACUUGGAUGAUGUUGUCACGCAGCCAGUUUCUCUGGCAAAUAACAACUCCAAGAUUGUUUCAUCUCAAGGACAUUCAGAUAAUGGUUCUCAAGAGUACAUCAGAUUGUUCAAACUUCUUUCAGGACCUCACUGGCAGGAAAGAAGAUUAGAUUUCAUGGAAGCCAUGAAACUUGAAAUAGAACGUCUUCGGCUGAAUCUUUCUGCUGCUGAAAGGGAUAGAGCCCUCUUAUCAAUAGGCAUUGAUCCUGCCAGCAUAAAUCCAAAUAUGAUGCUCGAGGAUUCAUACAUGGGAAGAUUAUACAGGGUGGCAAGCACCCUUGCACUACUUGGGCUAGCUGCAACAGAGGACAAAACUAAUGCUUCGAUUGGGCUUGGAACAUUUGAUGAAGACACUAUUGAUUUCUGGAAUGUUUCUGCAAUUGGGGAGAGGUGUUCAGGUGGUGCAUGCCAAGUACGUGCUGAAACUGGGCCACCUGAUGGUGCAUCGGUGACUUCUUCAUCUUCAACAACUUCAGGGACCUCUUUUGUCUGUUCUGGAUGUGGGAAAAAGGUUUGCAGAGUUUGUUCUGCAGGACAAGGAGCUCUUUUGCUUGCGACUUGUAACUCGAAGGACAUCUCAGGCUAUAAUGGUGUAACUAGCCAGGGAGGAUCUGUCUAUGGAUAUUCAGCUGAUGCUUCUUCAAAUCGCUCUGAAAUGCUUGACGGGAUCAUUUGUAAAUCAUGCUGCAAUGAAGUUGUCCUUCAUGCAUUGAUAUUGGACUAUGUCAGGAUCUUGGUUGGCCAAAGAAGAAAUUCUAGAGCAGAUGAUGCUGCUAGGAAUGCCUUGAACCACGUAUUUGGAUUGUCAUCAAGAAAUUUAAUUCCUGAAAGAGAUAAUUUUCUAAAGAGUCAAGAAAAUGCAAAGGUCUUAGGGAAGUUGACUGAUGGCAAGGAAUCACUUGCAGAGUUCCCAUUUGCCAGCUUUCUACACCCGGUUGAAACAGCAGCUGGUUCAGCGCCAUUGUUGUCCUUGGUUACUCCUGUGUAUUCUGGAUCACAAGAGUCAUAUUGGAGAGCUCCACCUAGUGUCUCGUCCGUGGAAUUUGUCAUUGUUCUCAAUGAUAUUUCUGAUGUCCAUGGUGUUGUCCUCUUGGUUAGUCCGUGUGGCUAUUCAAUGUCUGAUGCUCCUACUGUACAAAUCUGGGCUAGCAAUACAAUAGACAGGGAAGAAAGAUCAUGCACAGGGAAAUGGGAUAUUCAAUCGCUUGUAACUUCUUCAUCUGAACUUUGUGGCCCAGAGAAGUCACUUCAAGAUAGCAAAGUGCCUAGGCACGUGAAAUUGGCCUUCAAGAGCCCAUCCCGAUGCCGCAUCAUUUGGAUGACGUUGCGUCUUCCAAGACUUGGGUCUAAUUCUGUCAAUCUUGGAAGAGACUUCUCUCUUCUGUCUAUGGAUGAAAAUCCCUUCGCAGACCUGAGUAGACGUGCCUCUUUUGGUGGUGAGUCUGGUAAUGAUCCAUGCAUUCAUGCAAGAAAAAUUAUGGUGGUUGGCAAAUCAGUGAGAGGAGAGAUGGGAGCAUCACCACAAGGUUCUGACCAAAUGAAUGUUAGAAACUGGUUGGAGAGACCUCCACAGUUGAAUCGGUUCAAGGUUCCGGUUGAGGUUGAAAGAUUAAUUGACAAUGAUCUUAUUCUCGAACAAUAUUUAUCCCAAGCUUCGCCUAUGCUGGCUGGAUUUCGUCUGGAUGGUUUCAGUGCGAUAAAGCACCGUUUAAAUCAUUCACCUUCAACAGAUUUAGAUUUAGGGGGUAGGAACCAUCUUAUAGAAGAGAGGCUCAUAUCUCCUGCUGUGUUGUAUAUUCAAGUGUCCGCUCUCCAGGAGUCCCACAAUAUGGUGACUGUUGCUGAGUAUCGGCUACCAGAAGUCAAGGCUGGGACACCCAUGUACUUUGAUUUCCCUAGCCAGAUAAGCACUCGCCGCAUAACAUUUCGUCUGCUUGGAGAUAUUGGUGCGUUCUCAGAUGACCCGACAGAACAAGAUGAUCCAGAAUACAGACCGUACCCAUGGGCUGCAGGGUUGUCGUUGGCGAACAGAGUUAAGUUGUACUAUUAUGCUGAUCCUUAUGAACUUGGAAAAUGGGCCAGUCUUUCAGCAGUCUGAUUGAUCAAUGCAUCCAACUCCCUUUAAUGCAUCAUGUAUGUGCACCGGAGGUUUUGCAGCUCCGGUGAUACAACUUUCGAGGGCGGCCUCCCGAGCAGCCGCCGCCCUAGGAGAAGAAGGGGCCAAAGAUGAGCACUGGGUUUUGGAAAUCAUUCAAUAAGACCAAUCUCAGUAAGUUGUUUUUUGUCAGCAUUGAGGCUUUGUGAGUUCAAGAAAAUGUUUUGCUGAGCUGAGUAUAUUCUUUUUCAAAUUCAUAUUUCUCUUAUGAGUAUUUGUGAAUAAUACUAUAUAAUUACAUGAAUUUUGUACGUGCCAAAUCUUUGACAAAUGCAUUUACAAGUAUGGUAUGCUUAGGAUUGUAAAUGAACUGAGAUACAUGUGAUUCUCGUUGAAUUCAUUAUGUAAGACUUUGUUAGCAUGAGUAAGUUAAAGGUUGAGUAUGAGGUUUAA